UUGGGGUUGCGGACAUAUCAUAACGAAGAGGUAUCGUAAUUGAAGAGGUUUGGAAAGACCCACCACAGAAGGUAAUAGUCCUGUAUGUUAAACGAGAAGACUUCAGAUAUGAUCCAGAGUACCACGGGACACGUGAAACCCUGUGGGAAGCAGGAGGGACCACCCUCCAAGGCUAAAUACUACCUAGUGACCGAUAGCGUAUAGUACCGUGAGGGAAAGGUGAAAAGAACCCCGGGAGGGGAGUGAAAUAGAACCUGAAACCCUGCACUUACAAGCUGUGGAAGCACAUUUCUUGUGUGACCGCGUACUUUUUGUAGAACGGGCCAACGAGUUACGUUAAGUAGCAAGGUUAAGCACUUAAGGUGUGGAGCCGUAGCGAAAGCGAGUUUUAACUGAGCGUUCAGUUACUUGACGUAGACCCGAAACCGGGCGACCUACCCAUGAGCAGGAUGAAGCGAAAGUAAAAUUUCGUGGAGGUCCGAACCCACGAGCGUUGAAAAGCUCGGGGAUGACUUGUGGGUAGCGGUGAAAUUCCAAUCGAGCCCGGAGAUAGCUGGUUCUCCCCGAAAUAGCUUUAGGGCUAGCCUCAAGGUGAGAGAUACGGAGGUAGAGCACUGAAUGUCCUAGGGGGUAUUGCACCUACCGAAGACUAUCAAACUCCGAAUGCCGUCAUCUUAUACUUGGGAGUCAGACUGUGGGUGAUAAGAUUCAUAGUCGAAAGGGCAACAGCCCAGAUCGUCAGCUAAGGUCCCUAAAUGUAAGUUAAGUGGUAAAGGAUGUGGGAUUGCACAGACAACCAGGAUGUUGGCUUAGAAGCAGCCACUCAUUCAAAGAGUGCGUAAUAGCUCACUGGUCGAGUGAUCCUGCGCCGAAGAUUUCCGGGGCUAAAACUUACUACCGAAGCUACGGCAUCAGUAAUGAUGGGUAGGGGAGCUUCCCAUACGGGUUGAAGCAUGACCGUAAGGACAUGUGGACAGUAUGGGAGUGAGAAUGUUGGCAUGAGUAGCGAGAUGUGGGUGAGAAUCCCACAGGCCGUAAACCCAAGGUUUCCAGGGGAAGGUUCGUCCGCCCUGGGUUAGUCGGGACCUAAGCUGAGGCCGAAAGGCGUAGGUGAUGGACAACAGGUUGAUAUUCCUGUACUACCGAUAACCGUUUGAGAGAAGGGAUGACACAGUAGGAUAAGCUAAGCACACUGUUGGUUAUGUGUGCCCAAGCAUUGAGGCAGUCAAAGUAGGCAAAUCCGCUUUGAUAAUGCUGGGAUGUGAUGGGGAGCGAAAUUUAGUAGCGAAGUAGCUGAUUUCACACUGUCAAGAAAAGUCUCUAUCGAGGUUAAAGGUACCCGUACCGCAAACCGACACAGGUGGGUGAGGAGAGUAUCCUAAGGCCAGCGAGAGAACUGUUGUUAAGGAACUCGGCAAAAUGACCCCGUAACUUAGGGAUAAGGGGUGCCACCAUCAGGUGGCCGCAGAGAAUAGGCCCAAGCGACUGUUUACCAAAAACAUAGGUUUCUGCUAAGUCGCAAGACGAUGUAUAGGAGCUGACGCCUGCCCGGUGCUGGAAGGUUAAGGGGAUCUGUUAGAGCAAUCGAAGCAGUGAACUUAAGCCCCAGUAAACGGCGGCCGUAACUAUAACGGUCCUAAGGUAGCGAAAUUCCUUGUCGGGUAAGUUCCGACCCGCACGAAAGGCGUAACGAUUUGGGCACUGUCUCAACAACAGACUCGGUGAAAUUGUAAUUCCGGUGAAGAUGCCGGAUACCUGCGACAGGACGGAAAGACCCCAUGGAGCUUUACUGUAGCUUGACAUUGGGUNUUGGUACUACAUGUACAGGAUAGGUGGGAGGCUUUGAAACCAGGACGCCAGUUUUGGCGGAGCCAUCCUUGGGAUACCACCCUUGUAGUACUGGGACUCUAACCAUAGGCCAUGAAUCUGGUCUUGGGACACUGUCAGGUGGGCAGUUUGACUGGGGCGGUCGCCUCCCAAAAGGUAACGGAGGCGCUCAAAGGUUCUCUCAGUACGGUCGGAAAUCGUACGUAGAGUGUAAAGGCAAAAGAGAGCUUGAUUGCAAGACAUACAGGUCGAGCAAGGAUGAAAAUCGGACUUAGUGAUCCGGUGGUUCUGCGUGGAAGGGCCAUCGCUCAACGGAUAAAAGCUACCCUGGGGAUAACAGGCUUAUCUCCCCCAAGAGUCCACAUCGACGGGGAGGUUUGGCACCUCGAUGUCGGCUCAUCACAUCCUGGGGCUGUAGUAGGUCCCAAGGGUUGGGCUGUUCGCCCAUUAAAGUGGUACGCGAGCUGGGUUCAGAACGUCGUGAGACAGUUCGGUCCCUAUCCGUCGCAGGCGUAGGAAAUUUGAGAAGACCUGUCCUUAGUACGAGAGGACCGGGAUGGACGUACCUCUGGUGUACCAGUUGUUCUGCCAAGGGCAUGGCUGGGUAGCUAUGUACGGAAUGGAUAAGCGCUGAAAGCAUCUAAGCGCGAAGCCAACUUCAAGAUAAGAUUUCCCACCGCAAGGGUAAGACCCCAGAAAGACUAUCUGGUUGAUAGGUCGAAGGUGUAAGUGCAGCAAUGUAUUUAGCUUAUCGAUACUAAUAGGUCGAGGACUUGACCAA
rnacentral:rRNA from 1 species